rnacentral:rRNA from 1 species
GGAGUCUGGGCCGUGUCUCAGUCCCAAUGUGGCCGUUCAACCUCUCAGUCCGGCUACUGAUCGUCGCCAUGGUGAGCCGUUACCUCACCAUCUAGCUAAUCAGACGCGAGCCCAUCUCAGAGUGAUAAAUCUUUGAUACAAAGAUCAUGCGGUCUCUGUAUGUCAUGAGGUAUUACCAUCCGUUUCCAGAAGCUAUCCCUCUCUCUAAGGUAGGUUGCUCACGUGUUACUCACCCGUCCGCCACUAAGUUAUUCUAAGUAAACUCAAAAUAACUCCGUUCGACUUGCAUGUGUUAAGCGUGCCGCCAGCGUUCGUCCUCGAGCCACUGAUCAAACUACU